ACCCUAAUUAAGCCUCCAAGUGAAGCCAAGCUGGAAUGAAUGAUGAAUCCGUUAUCGUUUUUAAGAUAUUUAAGAGAUUCUUUUUGAAAUUUUGGAAUCUUUUGGACAACAACGUGAUUUUUCCUAAUUUCGAUUUUUUUUUGAAGGACAUCUUUCUUUUUAAUUUUUAUUUUCAUAAAUUAAUUAAAAAUAUCUAUGACUUUUGAAAGAAAGAAGUCAGUCAGCAAUUUUG
rnacentral:misc_RNA from 1 species